CGAGCGGGUGAGCGCGUCGGUGGGUCGACUUGGCUGCAUGCGCGCAUCUUCUUUGGUUGGUGAAUCGGCGGCGCCGUGGUCGGCCGGCUAGAUCUGUGGCAAUGGCGGCGUGCUGCAGACGGGCGGUGCUUGCCGGAGGUGCUGCAAACGGUAUCGGCAUACUGGUCGGCAGCGCGGCGGGCGGUGGUUGCUGGCCGAAUCCCAUGGUCAGCCUUUCGUCGGCGCGCCCCCUCUCCACCAUCCUCGGCGCCCUCUCCUCCAGGUCCUCCCCUCUGCCUUAGCUGCGGGCGAAAUAUUUUCAGCGGAGACUCAGUUAUCCUCUUGCAGGUACGGGCAGGUGGCGCACCAGGCCGCGAAUGCACUGUCCAACUUGGUGGAUCCUUUCUCUGAAUAGGAGCUCCAUGCGGCAGCGCGGCAUCUAGCUCCCCUAGCUGGCGGCCAACCAAAUAAGGAUCUCGCUUCUCCUCUCGAGGGCAGAAGAUUCGAUUAUUAUUUGACACCUGCUGAUCAGGAGCUGCAGUAUAUCAGAAAUUUACGUACCAGCUCACAAGUGAUUCCUCAACAGCUUCCUUCCAUCGAACAAGGCAUGAGCAUAGUAACUAUUCACCAUUGCCACGAUAAAGGCAUGGAUUCCUGCUCUCAACUAAGCAAGCCUUGCACUUGUGGCAAAUGGAAAGGAACUAUCAAGUCUUCAGUGAUUAAUAGUAUAAACAUCGGUGGUUUUUUACUCCACAGUAUGGCUAUGCCAUUGGGAGAGUAUACUUUAUUACAUAGAUUAAUUCAAUUAUAUAUUCUUACGUAAAUGUGGCCACACUGGUAGUUCUACCAAUGCUUGGAGUUCUUAUGUCGUAUUGUCAGAGACAUGUUUCUUUAUGUAAGAUUGUCACCUGAAAUUCUCAGGUGACAUAAUGUAUUGAGAAUUUUGUGAGACGUAAUGUAUUGGAAUUCUUUCAGUGACAUAAUGGAUCUUACGUCAAUUAGUGGACCAUAAUGUAUAUUUGA